rnacentral:misc_RNA from 1 species
AGAGGGGGGGGGGGGGGGGGGGUGUGUCGGCACUUAAAAAAUUCUGUUACCUCUUUGGCAUCAUUAAAUUUUUGUGCAACAUGAUUUUCAUCUAUGAUUAACUGAGCUAUAAUCUAUACUUAAGUGAAUAAGUGUACACAAGCGGUAUUUGAAUGAGCAACUUCUUGUUCAGUUAAGUGGAGAGAAGAAAAGCGGCAGGGGGGGGGGGGGGG